GCGUGGUAUUUCAGUGGCAGAAUUCUCAUCUUGCAUAUGGGAGACUCAGGUUUAAUUCCUGGCCAACGUG
rnacentral:tRNA from 1 species